UUAACACAUGCAAGUCGAGGGGCAGCGCUGGGUAGCAAUACCCUGGCGGCGACCGGCGAAAGGGUGAGUAACGCGUGAGCAAGUGCCCGUAUGUGGGGGAUAGUCGAUGGAAACGUCGCGUAAUACCCCAUAACACAUUUUCCCGCAUGGGGGAAUGUUGAAAGAGUUAUUGCAUACGGAUCGGCUCGCGUGCCAUUAGGUAGACGGCGGGGUAACGGCCCACCGUGCCGACGAUGGCUAGGGGUUCUGAGAGGAAGGUCCCCCACAUUGGAACUGAGACACGGUCCAGACUCCUACGGGAGGCAGCAGUGAGGAAUAUUGGACAAUGGCCGGAAGGCUGAUCCAGCCAUGCCGCGUGCGGGAGGACGGCCCUAUGGGUUGUAAACCGCUUUUGCGAGGGAGCAAUAA
rnacentral:rRNA from 1 species